CUUCUAUUCCAAAGGAUAUUUGUUUGAUAGCACUCGGGAAUUUUGAAAAAGAAGAGGACACUGAAGAAUAUCCACUGUCUUUAUUGAGGAAGACCUUGUACUCUACCUUUCCUGCUAACCCCUCAGCAAAAAUGAGGAAAUGAACAUGGCCCCUGAGAAGGUUCAAGUUGGAUCUCAAAAUAUCCUAGAGUCUUUUUCUUUGCUGGACUUUUAUUGGUGAGUGAGGCAGCAUAAUCAUCCCAUAACAUUAAACAGUCACAGAAGCCACUGAAAAAGUUAGAAAAGUCGCAUGAUGGAAGAUCUGGUACGAGGAAGGUUUGGGCCUUUGUAUUUCCUCCUGUAUUAAUGGUAUUCCUGGAGUUUAUUCAGCUUGCUGGUUAAAGAGAACAAGAAUAGGAAAAACAGGUUUUUUUUCUCAGAGUAAAUUUGUAUUUGUUCAAUUUUAAUGCAAUAUUUUCAAAACAUCUGAUGCCCACUGAAACAAAAAUCACUGAGGUAGACUGAUUACAGACAUGGCCUUCAUUACCCACUUAUGCUUGAUUCCAUAAUCUUUGAAAUAUGAUUUUACAGUUCCUCUCAUCAAGAGGCGAAGUCUAUUUCCCCAUCCUUGUGACUUGUUUUGGCUAAGAGAAUGUGGUAGGAAGUGAUACUUCUUAGACUUCCAAGUUACAUCCUAGUAAUACUUCCAAGACUAAGCCUCAAGAGACUUUAUUUAUACUUCUGUCUUCUCUCUUGGAACCCUGCUGCUGGCAUGAAAACAAGGCCCAGACAGCCUGCUGGAUACUGAGAGACCACGUGAUAGAGAGCGCUGACCAGAACAGCAGGCAGGAGGUAAAGCCUGCCAUGACUGUGCCCUGGCAGUUUCCUUCCUGUCUCUCCAGCCCUCAAGCCCCCAGCCCCUCGCACCUCCCUGCACCUUUUCAUCUAUGGAACGGAAAGAUCAUGAGCCCCUGAGGAAAGGUGUCACUAACUCCAGCCUUCCAGACAUGUGUGAUUACCAACUACAGAAAACGAGAAGAUACUCAGCUUAGACAAGAAUUCCUGGCAGAAAAUAUUUAACAACUUGAAGCUAAUAUGCACAGAGAAAUUAGGGCACAGUGCCCACUGGUGGAUGAAAGUGGCCAGAUUAUUCUGAGUAUUAAUAUUGUACAUUACUUACUCAUGAGAAUGAUUAGGAAGUGAGUGUUUCAAUGAAAUUGAUUUACCUGUUAAUUAGGCUUAACCAAUUCGAUCAUGGGUUUAACCAGAAACUAAUUUUUAAUGUACUCAAUGUUGAAAAUAUUUCUCAAUGUUGAAAAUAUUUCUUUAAAAAUUUGUCUAUCCUUGUGUGUUGACAUUUAUAAUUACAGAUAGGAGAUAUAAUUCUAUUUUUAGGACUAUCUUUAAGAAUUACCAUCACGCACAUCAUAGCAAAACAUAGGAAGACAUAAUAAUACCUUACAUUACAGGGUGAGUAUCCCUUAUCCAAAAUGCUUGGGACCAAAGUAUUUCAGAUUUUUUUAAAAUUUUGAAAUAUUUACAUAUACAUAAUGCGAUAUCUUGGGGAAUGGGACCCAAGUCUAAACAUGAAAUGUAUUUGUUUCAUAUGUACCUUUACACACAGCCUGAAGUUAAUAAAAUAUUAAUUUCAUGCAAUAUUUUAAAAUAAUUUUGUGCAUAAAACAAAGCUUGCGUUCAUGGAGCCAUCAGAAAGCAAAGGUGUCACCGUCUCAGCCUCCCAUGUGGACAAUCUGUGGUUUGUCCAUUACCAUCAUUCCUGACACUGAAUUUCUAUGCUACCAAUAAGCAAUCAUUUUCCUACACUUCUUCACACAUAAGUACUUAGCAGUUAAAAAUAUGGCAUACCAUUAACACAGCAAAAAAAUAAUGUGUUCAAGGUAACUAAGCAACACAGUAGUAUCACCAGAAUACCCGGAUCAGCUGUUAGACAACGGCAGCAACAAACAAAGGCAGGCUUUCAGUCUCCUGCGAUGCUGUGUUUUGAUUAAAGGUUACUGGACACUGGAUCUCAUUGUUUUAGGUGAGAAGAAACAUCAGAAACCACUGAGAGACCAGGAAGUAGGUCCUCUAGAGUUGAGGCAGCAUUCUGCUAGCUGGCUUUUAAAAAUGUUUCCUCCAGAGUCAUCUGCUUCAUCAACAAUGGUUUUUGUCUCAGAAGCCUCUCUCUGAUUUUGUAAACUGACAUCAUUUCUUGUUCUGUUAUGAAUGUAUGCUACUCUUGUCCUUCAGUAAACACAUCAUACAUUUCCACCAUGUCACCUGGAGGCACAUUUUCUUCAGGGUUAACGUCAUCUUCAUCAUUCACAUGAGGCAUCAUGUCGACAUUCAAAAAGUUUCAGAUUUGGGAUUUUUGGAUUAGGGAUGCUCGAUCUGUACUAAAGAGUUCUGCAUAUAUUAUUUCAACUUUCAACAAUCGACCAAGAAAAAAAAAAGGAGCCAGGUAUUGUCUCCCCAUUUCACAGAUGACCAAACAUCCUCAAAGAGGCUCCCCGAUUUGUCUGGUUGCAGAACCAGAACUCAAUGUGGGUCGUCUGACCUGAGCACAGGACUCAAUUUACUCUGUCACAUUCUAGAAGACAGCAAGCUUCAGUCAUAUCAU
rnacentral:lncRNA from 10 species